GGGAGCACAGGGCCCUGGGCUGUGUCCCCCGCGCCCUGGGUCUGGGGCCUGCGCCGCUGGACUCGCGCUCCCGGCCUCGGCUCCC
rnacentral:pre_miRNA from 1 species